UUGGUCCCUCUUUCCAUUCACAGCAGACAAUUACAGUGAAUUUAAAGGUUUUAUGUUGGCACAUUUGGCAUCAUUCCAUUUUAUCCUUUCUUACCAUGCUGGAAGUGGGCUCCAGAUCAGACACUAAAGAGGACAUGCAUUUAGAGUACAUCUUUUGAAAAUGGUCAUAUCCUCAGAAGCACACAUCUGCUUCUUGAUAUUCUGUCUCAAACUCAAAAUAGGCUUUCUUGUCACUAAAACCAUCCAUGCGUCAGUUUGUAAAGUGGUUAAGGGGAUUCAGCUGCAUUUCAUGUCUCGUCUCCACAAGAUUCCCUUGGAUGAGAAGGGACCCAUGGUUCUACAGGACACAAGAGGAGGAAAUACAAACCGGCAGAUAACUGGUAUGGAGUCACUGACAAUAAUUUACUGAGUGCCUUCAACUCUCGCAGUGAAAUCAGAAACUAUGUGCUCCUAAUGAAUUCCUCAUUGACUUGUUUUCCUGGCAAAGGAAACAAGGCCAAUGCUGCAGUAUUUGGGAGUGAAGUAUGCGGAUGACUUAGUGAACCAAAGGAGUGAGUUCCAACAACCGGCAUUUAUCAGAGGAAUAUUUGACAGCAUCUGCAUGUUUCAGAAGGCUGUACAGAGUUAAA